UACGAGGGGUCCAAACGUUAUUCGGAAUCACUGGGCUUACAGAGUUCGUAGGCGGUACGGAAAGUGGGGUGUGAAAGCCCUCGGCUCAACCGAGGAACUGCGCUCCAAACUACCGUGCUAGAGGAAGAUAGAGGUGAGCAGAACUGAUGGUGGAGCGGUGAAAUGCGUUGAUAUCAUCAGGAAUACCGGAGGCGAAGGCGGCUCACUGGGUCUUUUCUGACGCUGAGGAACGAAAGCUAGGGGAGCAAACGGG
rnacentral:rRNA from 1 species